AUUAAAACAUUGAAGGAGAAAGUAGGCAUAUUAAAACCUUUAGGAAGAAAAGAUCAGUGACUGAAAGUCUUUUUAGGUUAAAAAUGUUGAAGUUCACUCCAGAGUUCUGUUAGUGAAAUGAAGUAGCUUUCAGCGGUUAAAACCGUUAUAUUCUUAAGAGGACAAUUGUCAAUUAGGGUGGUACCGCGGAUACUCCGUCCCUUGU
rnacentral:ncRNA from 1 species